rnacentral:rRNA from 1 species
ACGAAAGGACAAGAGAAAUAAGGCCCACUUCAAAAAAGCGCCUUAAUUGAUUAAUAGAUGAUAUUAUCUUAAUCUAAAAUCAUAUAAUAAUUCAACCCAAGAACAGGGUUU